rnacentral:rRNA from 1 species
GAUGAACGCUGACAGAAUGCUUAACACAUGCAAGUCUUUGGCGAAGCUGUGCUUGCACAGCCUAGCCAAGGCGGACGGGUGAGUAACGCGUAAGGAACUUGCCCUGCAGUCAGGGAUAACAGACGGAAACGACUGAUAAGACCUGGUAAAGUCAGGCGGACUCAUGUCCAGCCUGAUGAAAAGAGAUGCUGCAGGAGAGCCUUGCGUCCUAUUAGCUUGUUGGUGGGGUAACGGCCCACCAAGGCGAUGAUAGGUAGCCGGCCUGAGAGGGUGGACGGCCAAAAGGGGACUGAGAUACGGCCCUUACUCCUACGGGAGGAAGCAGUGGGGAAUAUUGGAAAAUGGGGGCAACCCUGAUCCAGCAAUUCUGUGUGAACGAUGAAGGUUUUCGGAUUGUAAAGUGCUUUCAGCAGGGAAGAAAAAAUGACGGUACCUGAAGAAGAAGCGACGGCUAAAUACGUG